AACGAACGCUGGCGGCAGGCUUAACACAUGCAAGUCGAGCGCCCCGCAAGGGGAGCGGCAGACGGGUGAGUAACGCGUGGGAAUCUACCCAUCUCUACGGAAUAACCCAGGGAAACUUGGACUAAUACCGUAUACGCCCUUCGGGGGAAAGAUUUAUCGGGGAUGGAUGAGCCCGCGUUGGAUUAGCUAGUUGGUGGGGUAAUGGCCCACCAAGGCGACGAUCCAUAGCUGGUCUGAGAGGAUGAUCAGCCACACUGGGACUGAGACACGGCCCAGACUCCUACGGGAGGCAGCAGUGGGGAAUAUUGGACAAUGGGCGAAAGCCUGAUCCAGCCAUGCCGCGUGAGUGAUGAAGGCCCUAGGGUUGUAAAGCUCUUUCACCGGUGAAGAUAAUGACGGUAACCGGAGAAGAAGCCCCGGCUAACUUCGUGCCAGCAGCCGCAGUAACAC
rnacentral:rRNA from 1 species